rnacentral:rRNA from 1 species
GUCUAUGGCCAUGAACGUGUCCAAUCUCGUCUGAUCUCGGAAGCUAAGCAGAGUCAGGCCUGGUUAGUACUUGGAUGGGAGACUACCUAAAAUACCAGGUGCUGUAGGCA